UCCGUAGGUGGAUAAUUAAGUCAGAGGUGAAAUCCUGCAGCUCAACUGUAGAAUUGCCUUUGAUACUGGUUAUCUUGAGUCAUUAUGAAGUGGUUAGAAUGUGUAGUGUAGCGGUGAAAUGCAUAGAUAUUACACAGAAUACCGAUUGCGAAGGCAGAUCACUAAUAAUGUACUGACACUGAUGCACGAAAGCGUGGGGAGCGAACAGGAUUAGAUACCCUGGUAGUCC
rnacentral:rRNA from 1 species